AGAGUUUGAUCAUGGCUCAGGAUAAACGCUGGCGGCGUGCCUUAGGUAUGCAAGUCGAUCGAAUUAGGUAGCAAUACCUAGUUAGAGGCGGACGGGUGAGUAAUGUAUAGGAAUCUACCCAAGAGUCUCGGAUAACCUGUCGAAAGACGGGCUAAUAUGAGAUAGUUCUCGCAAGAGUAAAGAGCGUAACUGCUCGCUUCUGGAGGAGCCUAUAUUCUAUCAGCUUGUUGGUGAGGUAAAAGCUCACCAAGGCUAUGACGGAUAGCUGGUCUGAGAGGAUGGUCAGCCACAGGGGAACUGAGACACGGUCUCCACACCUACGGGUGGCAGCAACCAGGAAUAUUGGGCAAUGGGGGAAACCCUGACCCAGCGACGCCGCGUGGAGGAUGACGGCCUUCGGGUUGUAAACUCCUUUUGCCAAGCCCUUCACAGCUUGGAGAAUAAGCCCUUACUAACUACGUGCCAGAAGUCUCGGUAAUACGUAGGGGGCAAGCGUUAUCCGGAUUUAUUGGGCGUAAAGCGUGUGUAGGUGGUUUUUCAAGUCACCAUUUAAAUCCUAUGGCUUAACCAUAGAACUGGUGGUGAUACUGGAUUACUAGAAGAUCGUUCGGGAUACUGGAACAGUUGGUGUAGUGGUGAAAUACGUUGAUAUCAACUGGAACACCGAAGGCGAAGGCAAGUAUCUGGAAUUUUCUUGACACUGAGACACGAAAGCUAGGGGAGCGAAACAGAUUAGAGACCUGUGUAGUCCUAGCCGUAAACGAUGGAUGCUAGAUACUGGUGUAAGCCAGUGUCGUAAGCUAACGCGUUAAGCAUCCCGCCUGGGGAGUACGGCCGCAAGGCUAAAACUCAAAGGAAUUGACGGGGACCCGCACAACCAGUGGAGCGUGUGGUUCAAUUCGAGACGAAGCGAAAAACCUCACCAAGGCUUGACAUGAUACCGUUUAUUUCCUUGGAAACAAGGAGAAAUCCGCAAGGAUGGUAUUGCAGGUGUUGCAUGGCUGUCGUCAGCUCGUGCCGUGAGGUGUUCCCUUAAGUGGGGAAACGAGUGCAACCCCUAUUCUGUGUUAAAUAUUCACAGAAGACUGCCCUGUUUUUGCAGGGAGGAAGGAGGGGCGGACGUCAAGUCAGCAUGACCCUUAUGCCUUGGGCUACACACACCUACAAUGGCGAAUAACAACGAGAAGCAAACUCGCGAGAGUAAGCAAAUCUCUUAAAUUUCGCCUCAGUUCAGAUUGGAGUCUGCAAUUCGACUCCAUGAAGUCGGAAUUGGUAGUAAUCGCGAAUCAGAAGGUCGCGGUGAAUGCGUUCUCGGGUCUUGUACACACCGCCCGUCAAGGCAGCAAAGUCGGUAGUAGAUGAACCUCGCGUUUGCGUGGGAGUCUAAGAUCGGUGAUGAAGCUUAAGUCGUAACAAGGUA
rnacentral:rRNA from 1 species